rnacentral:tRNA from 1 species
GGUCCGUUGGCCGAGUGGUUAGGCAGCGGUUUGCAAAACCGUGUACAUCAGUUCAAAUCUGGUACGGACCUCAA